rnacentral:misc_RNA from 1 species
GGGUAACUUCCCUGUCGCUGUGGUAACGGAAACAAGUUCGCUCCUCCAAAACAAUUUUGUUCUCCUGGCAGUAUCCUCCGCAGCCAUAGUCAACUUGUACACAGUUUUAUCAAUUUUAUUAAUUAUCCUUUACCCGACACCCAGCAACGGAGUGAACCCGAUUUUACCUAAUGGCUGACUAUUUGUCAUCUUACUCGAGCAGCAAAAUAGCUCACGUAGCCAGAGAAAAGGAGGAAAAACGCUCCCAAGAGAGGCGGAGAAGUCUGAUGUAUCUUAUCGCGGAGUUUCUGCGGGAACAAGGAUGUAUAGAUACGGUCGAAUCGCUGGUCAAAGAGGCUCAACUCUCGGGGGACUAUCAAGUCUGCGACAACAUCGAUUUGGACACCGUCCUCGUUGAAUUUUCUGACUACCACUACGCCAAGUACAACAAAUACCCAAAGAUAUGUAAAAAAAUUGAGCCAACAGCCUGCAAUAACGCUGUCAACAUUAAUCCGAUUAAGAAGGAGAAGAUCAACAGAAACUUGCGGAAACCAGCAGACGUGCGGCCGACCGAGCUGGCUAAAGGUAAACCCUUACCGAAAGUGAAUAAUGUGCAAGCCGCGGCCGACAAUGAGCCAAACUUGGGUAUCACUGUGACUCCAGUCUUCCAAUCUUCCGGAAAUGCAGAGCACGUUAAUGUAUCAGCCGUCAACGAGGAGGUCGCACACUUUGCCAAAGAACGAAUUCUGAAACCAAUUGGUAACUUGUACCAACUCGGCACAGAAUGGAGGGAUAUGGCUGAUACGAUAUCCAGGGAUAUCGUAAUGACGGACUUGAACGUUCAUUGGGACGACAUCGAAGGCUUGAAGGAGUGCAAGAGUCUACUGAAAGAGGCUACGGUGUACCCAAUGAAAUAUCCCGAGCUUUUUGGUGGCAAGCUAGCUCCAUGGCAAGGAAUCCUUUUGUACGGCCCUCCAGGAACCGGUAAAACCAUGCUGGCUAAAGCUGUUGCCACUGAGUGCAAAAUUACAUUUUUCAACAUUUCGUCAACUUCGAUCGUCAGCAAAUGGAGAGGAGACUCGGAAAAGCUAGUUCGAAUCCUUUUCGACCUGGCAGAACAUCAUGCCCCAGCGGUAAUAUUCAUCGACGAAGCUGACUGGGUGGUUGGUAGUCACGCGGAUGUGACAUCUUCGAACUGCACAGACCCAGCCAGACGUUUUCGAGCGGAACUGCUGGCCAGAAUGGACGGACUUGUUUCAUCGAAGAAUGGAAUUCUACUUCUGGCCGCCACAAAUUCACCCUGGGAACUGGAUGCCGCGCUUCUUCGUCGACUUGAGAAACGUAUUCUCGUUGACCUUCCGGAUGUGAGGAGUCGUUUUGAAUUUCUUCGAUCAUACGUCCACGUCGACCUCCUCCAAGACAAAGACUUCUUCGAAUUGGUACAAAAAACCGAGGGUUACUCCUGCGCCGACUUGAAGUUGAUAUGCAAAGAAGCAUGGAUGAUGCAGUUACGCCCGAUUUGGCAAAUGCUUGAGGAAAACAAAAUCGUACGCGGGGAAAUUGGAAAAAUUCAUCAUGGAGCCAUUAGUAAAUUGAACUACCUCCAGAUAGCCUUUGAUCGAAUUAAGCCUACAUCGAAGCACAUAGCCGACAUGUACAAACAGUGGAAAGAAAAAUUUGGUGCAUCCUAAUUAUAAUAAUGUUCUAAACUGACCAAACAGAGUAGUUCGAGGUCAGACGUAUAUUGAUCGAAACCAAACAUUCACACUGUUGGACAUUUUUCUCCCGAAAUACGCUCUAUGUGGAGGUGCAUCAUCGGAUCGUAUUUCACCUCAAGAUCGCUAUUCGUAGAAAAUGUUCACUUGUUCGCCGCAUCGAAAAAUGGAAUAUGAAUACUACAAAGUACAAAACCAAGAAUUGAACUGCCAGAAUACACACAGGAGUAUGGGUCAUUCCAUGCCAAAUUGGCCAGCCUUCGACCCUGACAAUUUUCUAUUCAUUUAGGGGAUUUGUAUAAAUUUGAAAUUUCAAAACCGACAACCUCAUCUAUCGAACCGAACGAAGAAAGGCCCAAUGAAUGGAUCUAAACAUUAAAAAUCCGAAUUGAUGUGGCAAAGAAACAGCCCUGGUAGUUUCAACAAAAUCCGUGAUCUAAAGGUCUGAUAUAUACUCUCUUUGUCAGUGCCGUACGCUAAUUAAUCGUAUGUUUCGGUCCCCGCGCAGGAUCUAAGCUCUGCAAAUUGAAUACAUGACAAAAACAUUGUAAAUUUGAAAAAUUCCACCAAGUACGUAUUUUUAAAUUUAGAUGAGCAGAAAAUUGUACGGGAAAACUAAUCACAAGUUUCUCUCUUGAAAUGAAAAAAUAAAGCCAAGCACCGUACAUCCGCCUCUUUUAAACUAAUUAAUUAUUUGCAAGCUUUUUUUUCUUGAUAGCGUUUCAAAGGGCGUAGCAGAAGCGACGAGAAUUACGAAAAAAUAUUGAACUGUCUACUAAAAAAUCCCUUGUUCCUUUAGAUGAAUAUUAAAAUUGAUAUGUUAUUGUCAAAUUGACCCGAGUCUAUUCGGUUGUGACACUUCUUGAAAUUAACGAACUCCGGUAAUAUGCAGCUCGAAAUCAACUGAACUCUAAUUUCAUCACUACCAUAUUCUCUGCAGGAGUAACUACAAUUCUAAAAAUAGCUGCCACAUAGUAAAUUUUAUUGCACAUUAAGAUUUGGUUUCUUGUUCUUCAUAGAAUCCGUUGCUCGUCGUUAAGAAACCAUCGGAAUUAUGAGUGAAAAUUAACAACUGGUUCUUCAAAAUUUGACUUACUUUUA